rnacentral:lncRNA from 1 species
AUGCCCCUCCACCUCAAGGGCCCAGGGCCCCACUGGGUCCAGGGCCCCACUGGGUCCAGGAGCCAGAGACUGCCAACCGGGCCCCGUCCUCCCGACCGCUCUGCAGCGCUCCUCCGAGCCUGCCAACGGGGCCCCGUCCUCCCGACCACUCCGCAGCACCCCUCCGAGACUGCCAACCGGGCCCCGUCCUCCCGACCGCGCCACAGCACCCCUCCGAGCCUGCCAACCCGGCCCCGUCCUCCCGACCGCGCCACAGCACCCCUCCGAGACUGCCAACCCGGCCCCGUCCUCCCGACCACUCCGCAGCACCCCUCCGAGCCUGCCAACCCGGACCCGUCCUCCCGACCGCGCCACAGCGCUCCCUCCGAGACUGGCAACCGGGCCCCGUCCUCCCGACUGCUGCGCAGCGCCCCUCCGAGCCUGCCAACCGGGCCCCGUCCUCCCGACCGCUCCGCAGCGCCUCUCCGAGCCUGCCAACCGGGCCCCGUCCUCCCGACCGCUCCGCAGCGCCCCUCCGAGCCUGCCAACCGGGCCCUGUCCUCCCGACAGUGCUGCAGCACCCCUCCAAGCCCACAGCCUGCACCUGAUGGACACUGUCACAGCCCCGCCUUACGGGCUCGUCAGUACAAGGGGCAGCUCUCAAUAAACAGGGAGUGCUACCCAUGCUGUCGUUCCUGCGUCGCCCUCCCCUCUCCCCUGCCUGCACCAGCUGGGCGACAGUUCCUUCUCCAAAUGCAGUCAUCCAGUACCGGACAGGAGGCCCUCAGGCCCUGUACCCCACUGUGGUUGCAGCCAGCCUUCGUCCCAGCCCCAGCUCAGACGGGCCCCAGGGCUGUGCCCACAGCGCCUCAGGGAGUCAGGCGGGCUCCGGGGCUCAGGUGGGCUGCCUUGUGUCCCCGCUGCGCUCACACCCAGUGGCCAGCACAGAGAAGGUCCCCCUUUGCCAGCCAGCUCUGCUCUGCCCAGCUGCUCCCACAGUCCUGCCCGGAGCACGCAGGUGGCUCACGCAGGUGCACACACACGCACACACAGGCCCCGCCUGGCCCCCACUGA